GCCAAUGUGAUGUAGUGGUUUGGGCAUUGGACUAUGACUCUAGAGACCAGGGUUCAAAUCCCCACUUGGCCA